GACGAACGCUGGCGGCGUGCUUAACACAUGCAAGUCGAAUGGAAAGGCCCUGCUUUUGUGGGGUGCUCGAGUGGCGAACGGGUGAGUAACACGUGAGUAACCUGCCCUUGACUUUGGGAUAACUUCAGGAAACUGGGGCUAAUACCGGAUAGGAGCUCCUGCUGCAUGGUGGGGGUUGGAAAGUUUCGGCGGUUGGGGAUGGACUCGCGGCUUAUCAGCUUGUUGGUGGGGUAGUGGCUUACCAAGGCUUUGACGGGUAGCCGGCCUGAGAGGGUGACCGGCCACAUUGGGACUGAGAUACGGCCCAGACUCCUACGGGAGGCAGCAGUGGGGAAUAUUGCACAAUGGGCGGAAGCCUGAUGCAGCAACGCCGCGUGCGGGAUGACGGCCUUCGGGUUGCAAACCGCUUUCGCCUGUGACGAAGCGUGAGUGACGGUAAUGGGUAAAGAAGCACCGGCUAACUACGUG
rnacentral:rRNA from 1 species